UCCCUCUCAGGGUCUCACCUGGAGAGUUUCCAGAUCUCUACCAGUCUCGACUACAGGAGGGAGAGUCAAGCAGAUGCAUACUCAUUCCAUUUCUAGCUUGGUCAGUGGCUAAGGAAUGGAAGGCCAUCUGCUACAAGU